GCCCCUGGCUUGGGAGUUGGGGCGCUGCGGUGCUCGCUCUUUUAAAGUUUUUCUCCAGCGUGGAGUUUACAGCUUUCAGAGAUCUGAGAGCCAUCUUCCCGCGCUGAACGAGAAGGUCCUGCGUAAUGAUGGGAGUCGCGGUCUCACGCAGAGGGCCCCACCCCGUUUAGUACCGCAGCCGGACCCUCCCCGACAUCUCAGAGGCUGCUCUUCGUUGUUGCAGUCAGAAGUGUCGGGGUGUCUUUCUCGAAACCGAGACCCCCGGGUGGGAAAGGCCGGGUCUGAAUUAUUCUGCGGUCCCACUGGACUCGUCUUCACGACUUUUACCGGACUGAAGGCUCCUUGAGGGUCUUACUCUGUCUCAGAGAUUUAGAGCAGAACUUGGCACAGGGUAGUAUAUUGCUUUAACAUUCAUUGCACAGACAAUUUUAAGGAAACGUAUGAUGAUUUCUUGGCCUUGGCCUGUUGACCUAGUCACAAAAUAGCAAAAAAAAAAAAAAAAAAAAUCAGGAAUCCAGCUUGCACAAGUGAUACGGCUUCUGUUUUCCAGUCAGGUGGGGGACACACCUCCCAGUUCUGAAUAUGAUGGAGUGAAGAAUGAAGAGAAACAACCAUCAGAUGCAGCUAGAGAUUCUCAUGCUAAGUGAAGUACGCUGACGUCCUAGUUGCUGGUACUUGUGAAACCUGUGUCCUAUGCAAGCUUGCAUCUGCAUCUUCCAUCUACACCCCAGCUCGCGGCAAUGCGGGAUCCUUAACACACGGAGGGAAGCCAGGGAUCGAGCCUGAAUCCUCAUGGAUACUAGUUGGGUUCUUAACCCACUGAGCUGCAACAGGAACUCCAACUGCCCACUCUUUUUGGAAAGCAGAGGGAGACAGCUGUUCCUCAUUCUUUCACGCACUUUCACGUUAUAAGUAUUCAGCCAACAAUUUCCUCCUGAGAAGGAACAGAACAAGUCUGUACAGCCACUCCUGCAAACAUAGUGAGAACGUCAGCGCGAAGACGGCGGCCGUGUUGGGUCAUGGCGCCCUCUGGUGGCCACUGUGGAAAAGAGCAGGACAUCACCGGGACCCAGCGAGAGCCUGGAGGACGGAGGUGAGAGCACAACGCAGAGGCCCCUGGUGUGAGGCGCGGGAUCUUGCCGUAGGACAGUACCUGUCUGGCAGGCUGUGGUCUGGAAGCUGGCAGAGGACAGGCCUGUGAGGGACAUUCUCUUUCCUGUCAGCCCCGCUGCUUCGAGGUGAUGCCCAUGGAGCCCGCAGGGAGAGGCCUUCGCUGCUCUCCUUUCCCAUAAAAGGCAGCCCCUGGG
rnacentral:lncRNA from 1 species